rnacentral:ribozyme from 1 species
AGCAUUAAAUAAAUAUAAUCUAUGAAUACUAAGACCCUUACAUUUGUAGUUUUCUUGUUAGUAGUUAGCUUCUCCAACCAAGCUGAGGUUGAGACUCUUCUAGAAGCAGACCAGCCAACUUGCUGGGAAGAAGGAAUCCACCAUAUCAGCGACUGUCCCUCUUGUCU